rnacentral:tRNA from 1 species
AGGAAUAUAGUUAAAAUAUAACAUUUAUUUUGCUAAUAAAAAUUAUUUAUUUAUUUAUUUAUUCUUA